CCUACGGGAGGCAGCAGUGAGGAAUAUUGGGCAAUGGGCGCGAGCCUGAACCAGCCAAGUCGCGUGAGGGAUGACGGUCCUACGGAUUGUAAACCUCUUUUGCCGGGGAGCAAGCGUGCGUUCGUGAACGCACGUCGAGAGUACACGGAGAAAAAGCAUCGGCUAACUCCGUGCCAGCAGCCGCGGUAAUACGGAGUAUGCGAGCUGUAUCCGGUUUUUUUGGGUUGAAAGGGUGCGUAGGCGGGAUGCCAAGUCAGCGGUAAAAAUGCGGUGCUCAACCCCGUCGCGCCGUUGAAACUGGCGUUCUUGAGUGGGCGAGAGGUAUGCGGAAUGCGUGGUGUAGCGGUGAAAUGCAUAGAUAUCACGCAGAACUCCGAUUGCGAAGGCAGCAUACCGGCGCCCUACUGACGCUGAGGCACGAAAGCGUGGGUAUCGAACAGGAUUAGAUACCCUUGUAGUC
rnacentral:rRNA from 1 species